rnacentral:rRNA from 1 species
GACGAACGCUGUCGGCGUGCUUAACACAUGCAAGUCGAACGGAAAGGCCCUGCUUUUGUGGGGUGCUCGAGUGGCGAACGGGUGAGUAACACGUGAGUAACCUGCCCUUGACUUUGGGAUAACUUCAGGAAACUGGGGCUAAUACCGGAUAGGAGCUCCUGCUGCAUGGUGGGGGUUGGAAAGUUUCGGCGGUUGGGGAUGGACUCGCGGCUUAUCAGCUUGUUGGUGGGGUAGUGGCUUACCAAGGCUUUGACGGGUAGCCGGCCUGAGAGGGUGACCGGCCACAUUGGGACUGAGAUACGGCCCAGACUCCUACGGGAGGCAGCAGUGGGGAAUAUUGCACAAUGGGCGGAAGCCUGAUGCAGCAACGCCGCGUGCGGGAUGACGGCCUUCGGGUUGUAAACCGCUUUCGCCUGUGACGAAGCGUGAGUGACGGUAAUGGGUAAAGAAGCACCGGCUAACUACGUGCCAGCAGCCGCGGUGAUACGUAGGGUGCGAGCGUUGUCCGGAUUUAUUGGGCGUAAAGGGCUCGUAGGUGGUUGAUCGCGUCGGAAGUGUAAUCUUGGGGCUUAACCCUGAGCGUGCUUUCGAUACGGGUUGACUUGAGGAAGGUAGGGGAGAAUGGAAUUCCUGGUGGAGCGGUGGAAUGCGCAGAUAUCAGGAGGAACACCAGUGGCGAAGGCGGUUCUCUGGGCCUUUCCUGACGCUGAGGAGCGAAAGCGUGGGGAGCGAACAGGCUUAGAUACCCUGGUAAUCCACGCUGUAAACGGUGGGUACUAGGUGUGGGGUCCAUUCCACGGGUUCCGUGCCGUAGCUAACGCUUUAAGUACCCCGCCUGGGGAGUACGGCCGCAAGGCUAAAACUCAAAGGAAUUGACGGGGCCCCGCACAAGCGGCGGAGCAUGCGGAUUAAUUCGAUGCAACGCGUAGAACCUUACCUGGGUUUGACAUGGAUCGGGAGUGCUCAGAGAUGGGUGUGCCUCUUUUGGGGUCGGUUCACAGGUGGUGCAUGGCUGUCGUCAGCUCGUGUCGUGAGAUGUUGGGUUAAGUCCCGCAACGAGCGCAACCCUUGUUCACUGUUGCCAGCACGUUAUGGUGGGGACUCAGUGGAGACCGCCGGGGUCAACUCGGAGGAAGGUGGGGAUGACGUCAAGUCAUCAUGCCCCUUAUGUCCAGGGCUUCACGCAUGCUACAAUGGCUGGUACAGAGAGUGGCGAGCCUGUGAGGGUGAGCGAAUCUCGGAAAGCCGGUCUCAGUUCGGAUUGGGGUCUGCAACUCGACCUCAUGAAGUCGGAGUCGCUAGUAAUCGCAGAUCAGCAACGCUGCGGUGAAUACGUUCCCGGG